rnacentral:rRNA from 1 species
CUGCUGCCUUCCGUAGGAGUUUGGGCCGUGUCUCAGUCCCAAUGUGGCCGUCCACCCUCUCAGGCCGGCUACUGAUCGUCGCCUUGGUGGGCCUUUACCCCGCCAACCAGCUAAUCAGACGCGGGUCCAUCUUGCACCACCGGAGUUUUUCACACUGUCCCAUGCGGGACCGUGCGCUUAUGCGGUAUUAGCACCUAUUUCUAAGUGUUAUCCCCCAGUGCAAGGCAGGUUACCCACGCGUUACUCACCCGUCCGCCACUAAGA